rnacentral:rRNA from 1 species
GCGAAUGCUGACAUAAGUAACGAUAAAGCGGGUGAAAAGCCCGCUCGCCGGAAGACCAAGGGUUCCUGUCCAACGUUAAUCGGGGCAGGGUGAGUCGACCCCUAAGGCGAGGCCGAAAGGCGUAGUCGAUGGGAAACAGGUUAAUAUUCCUGUACUUGGUGUUACUGCGAAGGGGGGACGGAGAAGGCUAUGUUGGCCGGGCGACGGUUGUCCCGGUUUAAGCGUGUAGGCUGGUUUUCCAGGUAAAUCCGGAAA